CACCGCGGUUAUACGAGAGGCCCAAGCUGACAGCACCUCGGCGUAAAGAGUGGUUAGAAAAGAAAUAAACUAAAGCCGAAUGCUCUCUAAGCUGUUAUACGCUCUCGAGAGUUAGAAGCCCUAUUACGAAAGUAGCUUUAUACUAUUGAACCCACGAAAGCUAAGGAA
rnacentral:rRNA from 1 species